rnacentral:rRNA from 1 species
GAGUUUGAUCGUGGCUCAGGAUAAACGCUAGCGGCAGGCCUAACACAUGCAAGUCGAGGGGCAGCGGAAGAAGUAGCUUGCUACUUCUGCCGGCGACCGGCGCACGGGUGCGUAACGCGUAUGCAACCUACCUUUAACAGGGGGAUAAUCCGAAGAAAUUUGGUCUAAUACCCCAUAAUAUUUCAGAAGGCAUCUUUUGAGGUUGAAAACUCCGGUGGUUAAAGAUGGGCAUGCGUUGUAUUAGCUAGAUGGUGAGGUAACGGCUCACCAUUGCGAUGAUACAUAGGGGGACUGAGAGGUUUUCCCCCCACACUGGUACUGAGACACGGACCAGACUCCUACGGGAGCAGCAGUGAGGAAUAUUGGUCAAUGGACGCAAGUCUGAACCAGCCAUGCCGCGUGCAGGAUGAAGGUGCUAUGCAUUGUAAACUGCUUUUUG